UUGAUUUUUUUUUUACACGAACAGAGGCGUCCACGAAAACAAAGAAAGCGUAUUGUCUCCACGUCGGCUGCUGUUGGACUCAUCACCUGCACGUCAACACGCCAGCUGUGGAAAAAGUGGCGACAUGUCGUGAACGACAGGAUCGAGGAGGUUUUGAGCGGACACGUGGACGGGUCUGCGCUACGAUGACGAGGACAACCUGCUUUUGGACAGCAGGUGCAGGAUCUUGGGGGGGCCAGGGUGCUUCUCCUCCACGAUGGCUCUUGUUCUGGAAGCCGCCCUGCACGCAGAGUCAAAAAAACAAACAGGUGAGCACUCUUCAAACUGCAGAAGAGAAGGAUGUUAAAAUGUUUAAGGCAAUCUUUGUUUUACAGCGUGUCAAACCCAGCAGACGUGGAGACAGGCGAGCCUCAUACAUCUUGUUCCUCUCGCAGCUCUGCAUGACGUCAAGACUGCACACAAAAAGCAGGAUGUGAGGAGUGGUUGCUGCAAAUCACCCUCCUUCAGAAGAUUGCCUUGAACACAGAUGAGCAUGCAGUAGGAAAAUAGUCAACUGAGGCCAGAAUUUCUAAAACAAAGACAUCUGUUAAGUUUUGCCAUACAGCACAUUUGACAAGAGAUGAAACCCACCAGCAAUGAAGAGGAUGGGACUUGUUUCUCUCUGGGACUUUGUCCAAGCGCUCACAGGAAGCAGAGCAUGAAGGAAGGAAAAACAUUUGAACAACAUUGAGAUGAUUGUUCAGUGUAUUCACAGAGUGGACUGUCAAGUGUGUGUGGACACCAGUGCAAACGUCUCAAACUUGUCCAACUCCUCAGGCUGCUCCACAGUUUAGCUUCAGCAUCUUCUGAUGUGGUCAUCCAGCUGAAUUAAAAUAAGUUGCACUUGAGCCGACUGAAGCCGGAAUGACAGUUUCCUCAUUGCUGAUGACCAUCACCAUCAAGACGAGCGCGUCGACCAAUGUGUCGUGACCUCCCUGAAGAAGCCAAAAAGACAUCGCAGGUGCAGGAUCUUGGGGGCCAAGGUGGCUCUCUGCCACAAUGGAACUUGUCCUGGAAGCCACCCUGCAUGCAGAGUAAGUAAGCAAGUGACUGACUGAAGCUUUGGUGGAACUGAAGAAGAGACAGGUUUAAAAACUUUAAUGGCAAUCAUUUUGUUUUGCGGCAUGUCAAACCCAGCAGAUUUGGUGACGGUCAGGCUCGUACACGAUCUUGUUACUCACGCAGCGCUGGAUGAAGUCAAAAGGAUGUCCGUCUUUGACGCAGAUCAAGUCAGACCUUGAAGCAGGAAAUCUGCUUCACUCGUCGGUCCAAGCCGGGUUCAGGUUCUCCAGGGCCAAGAUGCUUUUGCACCACCUAGUGGACAUGAGCGAAGAGUAGUGAAGAGUGUUCAAACCCAGCAUCUCAGUCCUCAGGCAGCGGCGCUUCAAGUGGAGGUUGUCAUAACUGCACACAGAAGCAGGAUGUAAGGAAUAUUUGCUGCAAAGGCACAAUCUUCUACCAUCACCAUUGGAGAUGAAUGCAUUUUGGGUGUUGUGACAUGUUCCCACCUUAAUGAUGUCAUCACAGGAAUAAAUCUGUUAGCUUUU